GUAGAUCCCACAAACCUGAAUGAUUUCAUGGCUGUCACAGUGCUGUUGAGUAUGGAAGGGAGUUUUGAGUGUGUUUAGCUCCAGGUUUUUGUGACUGCACCAGAGGACUAGGUGUUCAGCCAGCUGUAUGUGUGCACAACUACAGAAUGGGAGAUCAAAGUUCAGGAAAUUCAGGAAGUCGGUCUGCAAACUUGGAUGGAUGUUUACAACAAACAGUUUGGUGAUGUUACCAUGUUCCAAGAGUUCCAGCAGUUACCUUGAGCCUGCUCUCUGUAGAGCCCGCGACUGGAGGUGUUGCUUCAAACCAUCUCACAUUUAGAGAAAUGGAGGGCACGCAUGGAGAAAACAAGGGAGGGAGAAAGAGUGACGCACAGUAACAGCACUUAGGAAGGGAUAAUGUUAAAAGAAACUACUGACAAAAAUAGGCAUGAUGGGAAUUCCCUUGUUUGCAAAAAAUAAUCAAAUACAAACACUGUCUCCACUUUUUUUGGGUCCAGCUUUUCCUUUAC